rnacentral:rRNA from 1 species
GACGAACGCUGGCGGCGUGCUUAACACAUGCAAGUCGAACGGAAAGGCCCUGCUUUUGUUGGUUGCUCGAGUGGCGAACGGGUGAGUAACACGUGAGUAACCUGUCCUUGUCUUUGGGAUAUCUUCAGGAAACUGGGGCUAAUACCGGAUAGGAGCUCCUGCUGCAUGGUGGGGGUUGGAAAGUGUCGGCGGUUGGGGAUGGACUCGCGGCUUAUCAGCUGGUUGGUGGGGUAGGGGCUUACCAAGGCUUUGACGGGUAGCCGGCCUGGGAGGGUGAACGGCCACAUUGGGACUGAGGUACGGAGCAGAAUCGUACGGGAGGCAGCAGUGGAGAAUAUUGCACAACGGGCGGAAGCCUGAGGCAGCGACGCCGCGUGCGGGAUGACGGCCUUUGGGGUGAAAACCGCUUUCGAAUGUAACGAAGCGUGAGUGACGGUAAUGGGUAAAGAAGCACCGGCUAACUACGUG